UGGGCUGGACAUACACCAGAUCGCUGCAGAGAUGUAGCUUCCCUUGUGGCUGGUGUAC
rnacentral:rRNA from 1 species